CAAUUAAAUUUCAUUAACUUAGUUAAAAAUUAGAUUAACUAACCCAACUCUAAAAUUUAAAAAAUGUCAAUUACAUUACUAACACAUACCUAUCAGAUACCAUAAAAUUGGCUGAAGUUUAAAUACCAUAGCGUAGUAUUCAUAUCUGAUAGUGCGAGACAGGAUCAAUAAAAAAUUGUUUAAAAAUGUUUAAAGACCGGAACUGUCGACAAAAUCUACAAAAAGCUUUAGAACUAUUGCAGAACUAUUGAAAAAUGCUAUGUACUCUGCGUUGAUACCACUGUUU